rnacentral:lncRNA from 1 species
ACUGUGGACGGGGUCCCUGGGCUUUCCCCUAGGGUCCCAUCAGCUGCUUAUGUUCUACCUUCUGACGGAUCACAGGAGGAGCCUGCAGCGGAGGAGCCUCCUCCUCCUCAGCAUCAGACCUAAAGGGAGUGUCCUGCCUGAAGGACCGGCUCAAGGUCGCACUAACAGCUCUUGCUAACUCCUGUUCCAGGCUGUUUAUCUGGGCCUCCAAGUACCCUGCUUGCGCCUGGAGGUCUCUCACCCCCAGGUCCUGCUCAAAGCUGUGCACUUGGGCCCCCAGGCAUGCGGCUUGCUCCGGAAGGUCCCUUACCUGUGGCACUGAGCAUGUACUUCCUGCAGUGCAGUUAGAAAUGCCCAUCCGACUCUGCUUGCAAAGGCACAGCUGCUUAAAGACUGUUACCGGAAAGGAAUCCUGAUCCAGACGCCAAGAGAGGGUUCUUGGACUCAUGCAAGAAAGACUUCAGAAUACGAGUUUUGAAUUUUUGAAUUGCUGUUAAAACUUUCAUCAUGAACACUGAAGUGAGUGAAAAGAGACUUUUGCAGUCAUUUUUUUGGACAGAGAUCAUGGAAGUUGGGCCCGACUGGAUGAGAUUUGGGGGUCUUUGGAAGUGGAGAAUGUGUUUGCCCUGGGGAAGAGAGGUGAUGUCUAGGAGACCUCUUCACUCAGGGCAAGCUCUAUGACCUGCUUUGACUCCAGAAUGUGGUAGAAGUGGCAUCACAUAAAUUGCAGAGCCUAGGCUUCAAGAGACCUUGCAACUUGCCUCUCACUGACUUGAAGUGCUCCCAUCAGAGCAUCUUGUAAGGAGCAGGUGGAGCAUGUGGACAAGCCAUCCCCACCAGCCCCUGAGACAUGUGAGAGAGGCCAGAACAGGCCAUCCGGACCCCACUGUGCUGGUGGAUGAGACAGCAGAAGGAAUAUCAACCUACCAACAGAAUCCUGAGAAAUGCUCACUCUUACUUCAAGCUGCUGCAUUUUGAUGUUAUGAAACCAUAAAUAACUUAUGAAGUCAUCUUUGCUGACUUAAAGUUUUCCAUAACUUUAUUAUAACAUAUCAAAAUUAUGAAAAAUGUGAAAAGUAGAAAACUGAUGAAUUUUGCUUCUUCAUAUGGUCUUUAAGAAUCUCAAAGGCACUGAAGUUUUUUAUCUUUUCUGUCUUAGAAUAAAAAA